CGCUGGCGGCGUGCCUAACACAUGCAAGUCGAACGGGGAUUUGUUUCGACAGAAUCCUAGUGGCGAACGGGUGAGUAACGCGUAGGCAACCUGCCCUCCGGCCGGGGGACAACACUCCGAAAGGGGUGCUAAUACCGGAUACGAAGUCUGUGCCGCAUGGUACGGAUUUGAAAGAUGGCCUCUAUUUAUAAGCUAUCGCCGGGGGAUGGGCCUGCGUCCGAUUAGCUGGUUGGUGGGGUAACGGCCUACCAAGGCGACGAUCGGUAGCCGGUCUGAGAGGAUGAACGGCCACAUUGGGACUGAGACACGGCCCAGACUCCUACGGGAGGCAGCAGUGGGGAAUCUUCCGCAAUGGGCGCAAGCCUGACGGAGCAACGCCGCGUGAGUGAGGAAGUUCUUCGGAACGUAAAGCUCUGUUGUUCCUGACGAACCUCCCCUCUAUCAACAACGGAGGGGGCUGACGGUAGGGAACGAGGAAGCCACGGCUAACUACGUGCCAGCCGCGGC
rnacentral:rRNA from 1 species